UGGGGAAUCUUGCACAAUGGGGGAAACCCUGAUGCAGCGACGCCGCGUGAGCGAUGAAGCCCUUCGGGGUGUAAAGCUCUUUCGGCAGGGAAGAUUAUGACGGUACCUGCAGAAGCAGCUGCGGCUAACUACGUGCCAGCAGCCGCGGUAACACGUAGGCAGCAAGCGUUGUUCGGAGUUACUGGGCGUAAAGGGUGCGUAGGCGGUCCUAUAAGUAUGGUGUGAAAUCUCCCGGCUUAACUGGGAGGGUGCGCUAUAGACUGUGGGACUAGAGUGUGGGAGAGGAAAGUGGAAUUCCUGGUGUAGCGGUGAAAUGCGUAGAUAUCAGGAGGAACACCGGUGGUGUAAACGGCUUUCUGGACCAUAACUGACGCUGAGGCACGAAAGCGUGGGUAGCAAACAGGAUUAGAUACCCUGGUAGUCCACGCCCUAAACGAUGCAUAUUUGGUGUGGGUCAUUCAGUUGAUCCGUGCCGGAGCUAACGCGUUAAAUAUGCCGCCUGGGGAGUACAGUCGCAAGGCUG
rnacentral:rRNA from 1 species